rnacentral:rRNA from 1 species
AUUGAACGCUGGCGGCAGGCCUAACACAUGCAAGUCGAGCGCGAAAGUUCUUCGGAAUGAGUAAAGCGGCGGACGGGUGAGUAAUACAUGGGAAUCUGCCUGGUAGUGGGGGACAACGUUUCGAAAGGAACGCUAAUACUGCAUACGCCCUACGGGGGAAAGGGGGGAUCUUCGGACCUCUCGCUAUCAGAUGAGCCCAU